GACGAACGCUGGCGGCGUGCCUAAUACAUGCAAGUAGAACGCUGAAGGAGGAGCUUGCUUCUCUGGAUGAGUUGCGAACGGGUGAGUAACGCGUAGGUAACCUGCCUGGUAGCGGGGGAUAACUAUUGGAAACGAUAGCUAAUACCGCAUAAUAGUAGAUGUUGCAUGACAUUUGCUUAAAAGGUGCAAUUGCAUCACUACCAGAUGGACCUGCGUUGUAUUAGCUAGUUGGUGAGGUAACGGCUCACCAAGGCGACGAUACAUAGCCGACCUGAGAGGGUGAUCGGCCACACUGGGACUGAGACACGGCCCAGACUCCUACGGGAGGCAGCAGUAGGGAAUCUUCGGCAAUGGACGGAAGUCUGACCGAGCAACGCCGCGUGAGUGAAGAAGGUUUUCGGAUCGUAAAGCUCUGUUGUAAGAGAAGAACGAGUGUGAGAGUGGAAAGUUCACACUGUGACGGUAUCUUACCAGAAAGGGACGGCUAACUACGUGCCAGCAGCCGCGGUAAUACGUAGGUCCCGAGCGUUGUCCGGGUUUAUUGGGCGUAAAGCGAGCGCAGGCGGUUAGAUAAGUCUGAAGUUAAAGGCUGUGGCUUAACCAUAGUACGCUUUGGAAACUGUUUAACUUGAGUGCAAGAGGGGAGAGUGGAAUUCCAUGUGUAGCGGUGAAAUGCGUAGAUAUAUGGAGGAACACCGGUGGCGAAAGCGGCUCUCUGGUCUGUAACUGACGCUGAGGCUCGAAAGCGUGGGGAGCAAACAGG
rnacentral:rRNA from 1 species